UACGGGGGGGAGCGAGCGUUAUUCAGAAUGACUGGGCGUAAAGGGUACGUAGGCGGUCUAUUAAGUUGAAGGUAAAAGCCCAGAGCUUAACUCUGGAAAAACCCUUCAAAACUGAUAUGACUGGAGUACGAGAGAGGAUAGUAGAAUUUCUAGUGUAGGGAUGAAAUAUGAAAAGAUUAGAAAGGAAUACCAAAGGCGAAGGCAACUAUCUGGAUCGAUACUGACGCUGAGGUACGAAAAGUAUGGGGAGCAAACAGG
rnacentral:rRNA from 1 species